GUCCUUUUGAUAAUAAUAUAAGGUCUAACCUGCCCACUGAUUAAUUAAAUGGCCGCGGUAUUUUGACCGUGCAAAGGUAGCAUAAUCAUUAGUUUUUUAAUUGAAAGCUAGAAUGAAUGGUUGAAUAAGAAAGGUUCUGUCUCAAUUUAAAUUUAUUAAAAUUUUAUUUUUAAGUGAAAAAGCUUAAAUUUAAUUUAAAGACGAGAAGACCCUAUAGAGUUUAAUAAAUAGUUUUUAUAUUUAGUUAAGGUUAAAUUUUUUUUAUAAGAAAUAUUUAUUUGGUUGGGGUGACUUAAAAAUUAAUUUAACUUUUUUAUUUUUUUACAUUAAUUUAUGAAUAGUUGAUCCAUUUUUAUGAUUAAAAGAUUAAAUUACCUUAGGGAUAACAGCGUUAUUUUUUUUGAGAGUUCUUAUCGAUAAAAAAGAUUGCGACCUCGAUGUUGGAUUAAAAUUAAUAUUUGGUGUAGAAGCUAUAUUAUUGAGUCUGUUCGACUUUUAAAAUUUUACAUGAUCUGAGUUUAGACCGGUGUGAGCCAGGUCGGUUUCUAUCUUAAAUAAACUUUAAUUUUUUAGUACGAAAGGACCAAAAAUUAAAUUUAAAAUUUUAAUUUGAAGAAUAAUGUUAUUUUGGCAGAGAAGUGCGAUUGAUUUAGAAUCUUUAUAUGUAGUUAUACAAAUAACACUUGAUUAUUAGAGACUUUAUUUUAAUUUUUUUUUCGAUAUUAAUUAUAGUUGUAGGUGUUUUAGUUGGAGUUGCUUUUUUGACAUUACUUGAACGUAAAGUUUU
rnacentral:rRNA from 1 species